rnacentral:rRNA from 1 species
UACGUAGGGUGCAAGCGUUGUCCGGAAUUAUUGGGCGUAAAGAGCUCGUAGGCGGUCUGUCGCGUCGGCUGUGAAAACCCGGGGCUCAACCCCGGGCCUGCAGUCGAUACGGGCAGACUAGAGUGCGGUAGGGGAGACUGGAAUUCCUGGUGUAGCGGUGAAAUGCGCAGAUAUCAGGAGGAACACCGGUGGCGAAGGCGGGUCUUUGGGCCGUAACUGACGCUCAUGCACGAAAGCGUGGGGAGCAAACAGG